AUACUUACCUGACAGGGCGGCAUCCUAAUCAUGAAGGUGGCUUUCGAGGGUGAACCUCAUCGCUGGCACUUCAGGUAGGCUGACUCUUGCAAUUUCCUUAGAUCCAGGGAACUUCACUGUAAAAUUUGUGAUGUGGGAGACUCUUUUUGUUCUUUUUCUCA
rnacentral:snRNA from 13 species